rnacentral:rRNA from 1 species
GAUGAACGCUGGCGGCGUGCUUAACACAUGCAAGUCGAACGAAGCAUUUAGAACAGAUUACUUCGGUUUGAAGUUCUUUAUGACUGAGUGGCGGAUGGGUGAGUAACGCGUGGGUAACCUGCCUUGUACUGGGGGAUAGCAGCUGGAAACGGCUGGUAAUACCGCAUAAGCGCACAAUGUUGCAUGACAUGGUGUGAAAAACUCCGGUGGUAUAAGAUGGACCCGCGUCUGAUUAGCUAGUUGGUGAGAUAACAGCCCACCAAGGCGACGAUCAGUAGCCGACCUGAGAGGGUGACCGGCCACAUUGGGACUGAGACACGGCCCAGACUCCUACGGGAGGCAGCAGUGGGGAAUAUUGCACAAUGGAGGAAACUCUGAUGCAGCGACGCCGCGUGAGUGAAGAAGUAAUUCGUUAUGUAAAGCUCUAUCAGCAGGGAAGAUAGUGACGGUACCUGACUAAGAAGCUCCGGCUAAAUACGUG